GGAUGACACAGAUUCCCAGGAACGCUUUCUAGACUUUUUUUUGUAACCACAAGGACGGUCAGUGUCAUCAUGUGAGCCACCUUCCAAAGGCUUUACCGGACCAUCACAAACAUCAGAAUCAGUGACCGUCAUCUUCUGACCAGUGAAGCCACUCACUGGAGGUGACAAGUUCAGUGCUCCUGGAGAUUUGUGUUUGGCCUGAAAACUUGACCUUGUUAAAGCCCAUCAUGAGAAGCUGGGGAGAGGACACAGGAGCUUCCCAUCUCCACAGCCACGUCUCCUUGUCUGCAGAAAGCUUAUACUGUCUCUGACAUCACACUUGACCACGUCACUGACCUUGGUCAACAGCAUGGAGCUGUAUGGACAGACCCCCCCCCCUCCACUUCCCAGCCAACUUUAAGUGUGACAAUGUUGUGCCAUCUCAUGUCUUUGUGUUUGCCAUAAAUGAAGUCUAUACUGUC